UACGUAGGGUCCGAGCGUUGUCCGGAGUUACUGGGCGUAAAGCGCGCGCAGGCGGCGGUGUUGGCCCGGCGUGAAAGCCCCCGGCUCAACCGGGGAGAGUCGUCGGGGACCGCACCGCUUGAGGGCGGUAGGGGCUGGUGGAAUGCCUGGUGUAGUGGUGAAAUGCGUAGAGAUCAGGCAGAACACCUGGGGCGAAGGCGGCCAGCUGGGCCGUGACUGACGCUGAGACGCGAAAGCGUGGGGAGCAAACAGG
rnacentral:rRNA from 1 species